UUGGGCAACUGCAUAGCCAGGGAAUUUUGAUUAUGGACAAACAGCCAGAAAUCUUACAGUCGAAAGGAACGUGGGCAACCUGGAGAGGGCAAAGAAUUCCAAGUAGUCCAGAAUCACUGAUCAGGUCUUCAAGUGAGUAGACAUCUGUGUAGAUAGUGGCCAGCCGACCGCAAUCUGCAAGAUCAGCAACAUAGAGGCAGAGACUCUGAUGACUGGACCACUGGACUCGAGAGAAGUGCCAGUGAGAGGCAGAACCCUCUAACCCCAUUCCCAGUUAAGACCAGCAACGGAAGGAUCAGAACCUGAAUUGAAAGCUGAGGGUUUUCUCCAAAUGGGUGUCUUUUGCUGCUACUGUCCACAGAUGGCUGUAGGAUGCUGAUGUGUUCACCAGGAACACCAGUGCCUGAACUCUUUGUUGGACCAAGGCGACGUUGCAGAUGCUGCAUCCCUCGUUGUGACAAUGCCGCAGAUGCCCGCACUGAGAGUACUGACACUGUAUCAGAGGCAACGCUGCCAAAGCUGUUGGCACCCAUUCUGCUGAUUCUUUGGUUUUCAAUGUCCUUUGGAGAUUUACUCUGUCCAUUGCAGCCUCCUUGCUAGAAGUUCCAGACUUAAGUCUCUGAGGCCUGGCCUAAAAUACAAUCUGAUAUACACCAUGCUAUACUUAAAAUCUACUUCCCCUCAUCCUUAAAUACUAAUUUAUUUUCAUUGAAUCAGAUUUGUUCAUCUUCCCAUAUGAUUCUUUCCCAGAAGAAUCCUUAGAUCCUAGCAUAAUAUCCUUUCCAGUGCCUCCUCCCCCACCGUUAUCCUGAUAAUGCUCCAAUGACACCUGGAGCCCCUGCUACAGUCUUCUCUUUCCCAUUAACCCCAGUAAAAAUUGUGCUGUCUUUAUUAAGAGUCUAACCCCACCCAAUAAUCAGCCUGAGUGAUUGACACUCCUUCCGGUGAGAGCUUACACGAUACUAAAGCAUUGAGAAGAGAGAAAAGUAGUUCACACAAGUUGCCACAGCCUUGUUGCUGCUGUCCCUGUCUGAUGACUUAUAGGGCCCAGCAGGAAGCUGCUGUUCAGCCCCUCCUUGGGACAUGGUAAUCUUUCUAUUGGGACAUUGAUAUAUUUUAUGAGAUUCCUUACGGCCCUAUCUUAGACACACAUCCCAUAGCCAUUUCCUUUCUGGAGUCAUGAGACCUCACUAUCCACACUGCCAAGAAUCAGGAUGCAGGCCUUUGUUGUUGUUAUCCACAUACUUCAUGCUUUCCUUUUCCCCUCUUAGCUCAGGGAACUAUCCAGACUGUGGGAAAAAACCCAGUCACCCCACCAUUCACAACCUCUAUGAGUUAAUUUAAUUCAACAUACUUCUCCCGUCUAGCUCAGCUGGGGUGGGGGUAGGAUGAGGUUCACAGGAGCAUUUUAAAUACUCUUAGAAAGACUUGAAUGGGUAUCUAGCAGCUGCCUGAUGCUUUUUAACGAAUUUGUAUAUGUGGCGAGGUAGUGUACUCUUCCUAUCCUCAGCUUUAGGAUUUUCAACUGAAAUUAUGACAAAGAAGUCCCAUUUAUAAAUCUGUAAAUCUUCAUCAGUAAGUGUCAGUCUUCCCCCUGGGUAUAGCCAAAGUGCAUGUACUUCCCUUACUCUAACCUGUUGUUUUAGGAACAGUCCUCUUCCACGGCACACUCUCCAGCAUCCUGAAAUAUAGGUGUGCUUAAAGUGAUCUGGGAUGGAUAGCACUGUGGGACUACCCCAAGAGGAGUGCUGGUCAGAGAUGAUGAGAAUAACAAAAUAAGGAAGCAUUUUAGUCAUUGUAUAAUAGGACAGACCAAGACUACGUGCUUAAGUUUCUCUCAUUGAUCUAGUCGCUAAUUAGUGUAAAUAAGUCAGUUGUUAAGGUAGAAUUCCAGGGGAGAAAGCAAGGGCUCAUGGCCCAAGAUUAAAAACACCUUGCUAGGGGAUAGUAAAGAAAGGCAGGAGGUUGGCACUGUGGAGAAUACAGGCAAUAGAGUGCUUUGAAAAUAGCAGGUGACUACAGUAGGCAAUACUGCUCAUUAGGGGACUGUGUUACUAAGUGGAGAUCAUGCUUAGUUUGGCUUUCAGAUGCUAUGAAGCACAUAGUUCCUAGAAAAUGUGGGAAUGAAAAGAUUUGAAAUACGUGUAGCAGACCUUAUGGGUAAGAGCCAAUGACUUGGGCGUAUGUUUGUAUGUGGCAAUACUGCAAAUGUUUGAAAUUUUGCAAGAAGACAGGGGUGUCUGAAAAACCACUCAGAGAGGAGACAGUGUGAAGAGGUGUAUUUUCUCAAAUGUAAGGGGACCAUCUUAUUGACUGAUUGAUUGAUUGAUUGAUUGAUAGACUUUCUUUUUCUCUAGCAUCACCUGAAGUUGCAUAGCAAGCCAGGGUGGAGACUCCCUGACCAAUGUCUACCUGCAAUCUUUUAAUGACAGUGCCCUGCAACCCUUGGGCUCAGCUGACUGAUUCUCCUUUGGAUAGCCCCCUCAGUUUUUGGAGCAAGGCCAGAGGAAGCAAACCAGAGUUUCAAGGGAGCCCUUUGCAUACCAUUCAACUGGAAAACCCCACACUAGGACUGUCUCUGUGUGUCACACAUGUGACAAUGGUCACAGCACUCAGGGUGAGGCCAAGGCCCUGGUAGUAAUUUUUUUUCUAUAGUGCUUGUCCACUGGACUCUGGACAAUGGAAAUUGAUGAGCUGUAAUCAUCUGGAAGUCCAAACUUGGUAAAGAAGACACUUGAGAUAACUUCAGUUACAAUCAUCUAACUAGAGAUCUUGACAGAGCUACCAGCCGGAUCAUUGUCUCUUUUUCUCUGCGUUUUCACAAUGCUCUAUACUCAGUAAAGUCUAAUUGAAUUGGAUCUUCAUGAGGAUGAUGACUUAUUCUAGAUUUCUGUUUCCUGUGCACCUGUAACACUUUCUAUAGUGACCAAUUUAUGCUCUUUCCAUGAUUUGAAGAUAUUUUUGAAGGUUAUUAUAAGCUAUUGAUGGAAUGGAAUCAUGAGAGAUUUGGUAUGGCAGUAAUUCAACCUCAGAGGGGCUCGUGAGUUUAUCCUAGACUGCAACAUGUUACUAUCUCUUGAUCUGGGACAAUGGAAUAAGUAGAAAAUGGGAGAGGAUGAUGCUUCUUACACAUUUUUGAGAAGAAAAGACUUCAAAGACCUCCAUCAGCCUUGACUGCAGCCAACUUUGGAUUUUAAGGUCACAGAGCACUCUUGGCAAAAGAUGAGAUAUAGGAGGCUCAAAGGGUUGAGAGUCCUUUAAGUUCCAUUCUAUUUUAGUGACACAGCAAGAAGAUGGCCAUCUAUGAACCAGGAAGCGAGCCCUCACCAGAGACUAACUCUACUGGCACCUUGAUGUUGGACUUUCCAGUCUCCAGAACUGUGAGAAAUAAAUUUCUGUUGUUCAAGCCACCCAGUCUAUGGUAUUUUGUUAGAGUAAACUUAACAGAUUAAGACAUACAUACAGUGGAAUAUUAUUCAGCCUUUUUAAAAAGGAAGGAAAUCCCAGCUUUACAACAAAUGUUAAAGGAACUUCUCUAAUCAUCAAACCAUAAGAAAAGAGAACAAAAAGAAGAAAGAGAGAGAAAAAAAGACCUACAAAAGAUUGCUUUGGCAGUUCGGGGUCUUUUAUGGUUCCAUAUAAAUUUUGGAAUUGUUUGUUCUAGUUCCUUGAAAAAUGUUGUGAGUACUCUGACAGGGGUUGCAUUGGAUCUGUAGAUUGCUUUGGGUAGUACGGCCAUUCUGAUAAUGUUGAUUCUUCCAAUCCAAGCGCACAAGGUAUCUUUCCAUUUCUUUGUAUCAUCUUCAAUUUCCUUCAUCAAUGUUUUAUAGUUUUCAGAGUGUAGGUAACUUCCUUGUUUAAAUUUAUUUCUAGGUAUUUUGUUCUUUUUGAUGCAAUGGAAAUGUUUAUGCCAGUUAUAAAAUUCUGAUUUUUGAAGUGGAAAAAAAGUGAAUGAAGGACUGCAAAUGGCAAUAUCCUUCUUUCUUAUGGGUGGGUUGUAUUCCAUUACGUGUAUAUGCUGCAUCUUCUUUAUCCAUUCAUCUGUUGAUGUGCACUUACGAUGCUUCCAUGUCUUGGCAAUUAAAAAUAAUGUUGCUGUUAAUAGCGGGGUAUAUGUAUCUUUUUGAAUUAAUUCUUAUUUUGUGGUUGGCUUUAUUUCUUUGAUAACUAUGUAAGUUUAAAAGCUAAAGCUCUAAACAUUCUUAGAAACAAUGAACAGUACAUAUAUGUAAAUUUUAUAAAUAUGUGCAGUAUAUUGUGUAUAUGUAUUUACAUUUAAUACAUUGUAUAUGUGCAGUCAAAUUGUAACAAUUCUACCUAAUAAAACUGAAAAAUGAAAAAAAAUUUUAAAUUUUAAAAAGGAAGGAAAUCCUGUCACAUGCUACAACAUGAAUGAACCUUGAAGACAGUACACUUAGUGAAUGAAAUAAGCCAGUCACAAAAAAAGACACACUGUAGAAAUACACCUAUAUGAGGUAUCUAAACUGGUCAAGUUUACAGAAACUGAAAAUAGAGUGAUGAUUAAUAGGGGCUCAGAGGAAGAGAAAGGGAAGUUUUUGUUUAAUUGGUGUAGAGCUUCAGUUUUGCAAGAGGAAAAAGUUCUGGAGAUCUUUUGCACAACAAUGUGAAUAAACUUAACACUUAAACUGUACACCUAAAAUGAUUAACAUGGAAAUUUUUAUUUAUGUGGAUUUUUUACCAUCAUUAAACAACAAACUUUAAAAAGUCAAGGUCUCUGAGAUCCGACUGACUGAAAGUGGACAUCGGCUUUCGUAUUUUUACAAACUGAGAUCUAGGGCAAGCUGGUCACAGCUAUGUUCCAGUACUUCCGAUUAUAGAAAAGAGGUUAACAUAGUACCUAUUACACAAGGUUGCUGUCGAGAUCAAAUGAGACACCCUAUGUAAAAGCACUUACCACAGCGCUUACUAGAUAAUAAGUGCUUAAUAUUAGCAAUGAUUGCUAGCUAAGGACUCCUCUAGGCUACCGUUCUAAAGUAAAGGUUUUUAUAUGACGAGGGAAACAAAGCCUGCAUGCACUCUGAUGACUGACAUACUUUUCCUCUCAUUUCUCACAGACCUUAGGUGGGUCGGAGAAGCAGCCUCAUGAAGGUGUACAGACAGGCCGUUUCUGGUACUCUGCCUAUCUCCUCUAAGGCAGCUAGCUACAUCCCUGGUUGACCAAAGCUGCGUUUAGUUUAUCCUGUUAAAUUUACCAGAGAAGGAAUAAAAGAUGUUACAAGCAUACCCCUAACUUCUAGAAGGAUCUUAGUGCUCCCUCUUCUAACUCCACAAAGAGGAGCACUCCUGGGGGAUCGGAGGAGACCAGGUAGUAUGAUUAUGGAGCUUAAGGGCAAGUUUAGAGAUUGACAGAACCUGAGUACGCCUUCUUAUCUAUGAAAUCUUAGGCAAGGUUUUGACCCAGCCCAUGCCUCAGUUUCCUCAGUUGUUGAAUUGGGUAUACAAAUGUGUAAAAUCCUCACUGGAUUAUUGUGUGGACCAAAUGAGAUAACCUAUGCAAACAUACCUAGCAAAACGCCUGGCACAGAGUAAGCACUGAAUAAACCAGAGCUGUUAACGUUAGCCAAGGUGAGCCUUGAGCCACAGUUUCAGAUAGUAGAGCUUUUGACGUUAUGCAGUUGGAACCGUGAAACUUGCAUGUGCUUGGAACAAGCAUGUUGUAUCCUCUCUCUGUUGCUCCUUUGAUGGGACUGAGGUCUCUGGAGUGUUUAGUGGGGGAGGAAGGAAGCUCCCACCCUGAACAGGAGGACUAGGGAGGGAAACUGGGCUCCCUCUGCUCUACAUGCAGGGGGAAGUAUUCUCUUUCCCCAGGUUGUUAGCGGCUUCUCCGUUCUUUGACCUUAGAGGCCUUGGGCCUGGCACUAAGAGGCCAAGGAGUCUGCUUAGCAUCGGUUUAGCGUUGUAAGCAUUACCUCUGCAUGGAGCCUUAGGAGGAUGGUAUACUCAGGCAAUUUCUAUCUCUGUCCCUUCUACCACUUUCCCUCACGGUUUUCCUAUGACAUUAGCCUGCUUUUUGUGAUUACAGCUUUAUUGAGAUAUGUCACAUACCAUUUAAUUCACCCAUUUAAAAUGGUUUUCAGUAUAACCACAAAGUUGUGAAACCUUCAUCGUUAUCUAGUUUUGGAAUAUUUUAAUCAUUCCUAAAAGAAAAACUAACUUUUGAGCAAUCACUCCUCCAACCCCUCUCUCCCAGCCCCUAGCAAACACUAGUCUUCCUUCUUUCUAUAUAAAUUUGCCUAUUCUGGACAUUUCAUACAAAUGAAAUCAUAUGAUAUCUGAUCUUUUGUGUCUGGCUUAUUUUAUUUAGCAUAAUGUCUUCAAGGUUCAUCCAUGUGUCAGAAUUUCAUUCCUUUUAUAGAUGAUUAAAAUUCCAUUGUAUGUCUAUACCACAAUUUGUUUAUCUGUUCAACAGUUGAUGUAUAUUUGGGUUGUUUAAACAUUUUGGCAAUUAUGAAAAGUGCUGCUGUGAAUAUUCAUGCACAGUUUUUAAAAACACCUGUUUUUAAGUGGUUUAAUUUUUUUGGCAUAUAGGUAGGAGUAGAAUUGUUGGAUCGUAUGGUAACUCUAUGUUUAACUUUUUUUUGAGAAAUUGCCAAGCUGUUUUCCACAGCAGCUGCAUGAUUUUACAUUCACGUCAACUUAUUGGUAAUUUACACAUCUUUAGAGAAAUAUCUACUCAAGUCUUUUGCCCAUUUUAAAAUUGAGUUGUUUGUCCUUUUUUGUUGAAUUGUAAGUGUUCUUUAUAUAUUCUGGUUACUAGGGCCUUAUCAGAUAUAUGAUUUGCAAACAUUUCCCUCCAUUCUGUGGGUUGUCUUCUUACUAUCUUGAUGGUAUCCUUUGAUGCAAAAAAGUUUUUAAUUUUGAUGAAGUCUAGUUGAUCUAUUU